rnacentral:rRNA from 1 species
AGCAGCCGCGGGUAAUUCCAGCUCCAAUAGCGUAUAUUAAAGUUGUUGCAGUUAAAAAGCUCGUAGUUGAAUUUCGGGGUUAGUAGGCUGGUCGUGCCACAGGUAUGCACUGGUCUUACUGAUUCCUCCUUCCUGAUGAACCGUAAUGCCAUUAAUUUGGUGUUGCGGGGAGUCUGGACUGUUACUUUGAAAAAAUUAGAGUGUUUAAAGCAGGCUAACGCUUGAAUACAUUAGCAUGGAAUAACGAAAUAGGACGUUCGAUCCUAUUUUGUUGGUUUCUAGGAUUGACGUAAUGAUUAAUAGGGAUAGUUGGGGGCAUUAGUAUUCAAUUGUCAGAGGUGAAAUUCUUGGAUUUAUUGAAGACUAACUACUGCGAAAGCAUUUGCCAAGGAUGUUUUCAUUAAUCAAGAACGAAAGUUAGGGGAUCGAAGACGAUCAGAUACCGUCGUAGUCUUAACCAUAAACUAUGCCGACUAGGGAUCGGAUGAUGUUAAUUUUUUAAUGACUCAUUCGGCGCCUUACG